rnacentral:rRNA from 1 species
UACGUAGGUCCCGAGCGUUGUCCGGAUUUAUUGGGCGUAAAGCGAGCGCAGGCGGUUUGAUAAGUCUGAAGUUCAAGGCUGUGGCUCAACCAUAGUUCGCUUUGGAAACUGUCAAACUUGAGUGCAGAAGGGGAGAGUGGAAUUCCAUGUGUAGCGGUGAAAUGCGUAGAUAUAUGGAGGAACACCGGUGGCGAAAGCGGCUCUCUGGUCUGUAACUGACGCUGAGGCUCGAAAGCGUGGGGAGCGAACAGGAUUAGAUACCCUGGUAGUCCACGCCGUAAACGAUGAGUGCUAGGUGUUGGAUCCUUUCCGGGAUUCAGUGCCGAAGCUAACGCAUUAAGCACUCCGCCUGGGGAGUACGACCGCAAGGUUGAA